rnacentral:tRNA from 1 species
GCGGGAGUGGUGAAAUGGCAGACACGCAGGUCUUAGGAACCUGUGCUUUACGGCGUGUGGGUUCAAGUCCCACCUUCCGCACCA